GCGGCAGGCUUAAUACAUGCAAGUCGUGGGGCAGCAGGUUUGUAGCAAUACAGAUGCUGGCGACCGGCAAACGGGUGCGGAACACGUACACAACCUUCCUUUAAGUGGGGAAUAGCCCAGAGAAAUUUGGAUUAAUACCCCGUAACAUUAUGAUGUGGCAUCACAUUAUAAUUAUAGCUCCGGCGCUUAACGAUGGGUGUGCGGCUGAUUAGGUAGUUGGCGGGGUAACGGCCCACCAAGCCUGCGAUCAGUAACUGGUGUGAGAGCACGACCAGUCACACGGGCACUGAGACACGGGCCCGACUCCUACGGGAGGCAGCAGUAAGGAAUAUUGGGCAAUGGAGGCAACUCUGACCCAGCCAUGCCGCGUGGAGGAUGAAGGUCCUCUGGAUUGUAAACUUCUUUUAUAUGGGACGAAAAAGGGCCUUUCCAGGUCAACUGACGGUACCAUAUGAAUAAGCACCGGCUAACUCCGUGCCAGCAGCCGCGGUAAUACGGAGGGUGCAAGCGUUAUCCGGAUUCACUGGGUUUAAAGGGUGC
rnacentral:rRNA from 1 species